UACGGGGGGGGCAAGCGUUGUUCGGAAUUACUGGGCGUAAAGGGCUCGUAGGCGGCCAACUAAGUCAGACGUGAAAUCCCUCGGCUUAACCGGGGAACUGCGUCUGAUACUGGAUGGCUUGAGGUUGGGAGAGGGAUGCGGAAUUCCAGGCGUAGCGGUGAAAUGCGUAGAUAUCUGGAGGAACACCGGUGGCGAAGGCGGCAUCCUGGACCAAUUCUGACGCUGAGGAGCGAAAGCCAGGGGAGCAAACGGG
rnacentral:rRNA from 1 species